CAGGAGUCUCGGCCUCUCGGGGAGCGACGUGCCGGGAAAGUUUUGCCUGCACUCUCCCUGGAUGCUGGAGGCUGGAGGCAGUGACGCAGCAACAGCGCGAGGCGACUUUGGAGCGGCCUCAUAUAGCGACCUCGCCUUCCGCUGCGCGUCCUCCCAGAGCCCAAGAAGCCCGGAACCUGUGGCAUCCAUCUCUGAAAGGAGAAGACGGCAACCCAGCCGAGGCACUACUGGGUUGGGGUCUCCACGACCGAGCUGGUCUCAUCAAGUGGCGUCCAACAAGGGGCUCAAACCCGGGUUGAGGGGUUGCUGGAGCGACGGAGAACGUGGAACUACACUGGAGGACACCAGAGUACUCUUAAGCAAUCCCUUGGCCAAAACCAGCAACUGAUUUGGAUACCAUCAAGACACCUGAAAUCUUGUCAUGAGCCAGAUACUGAGGAAGAGAUUUUGGGAAGAACCCAAGGACCCCCCAGUUGCAGCCAUGUCAAGACUGACAAUAAGGAAGACAUCAGUCCCAGCAAGCAACAUUCAUCGGGCACAGCCACCCAUGUGGGGCCAGAUCAAGAAGUUGACACAGAUGGCGGAAGAAAAUCUGAAGAAAGCGGAUGACCAGCUACAAUGAGUAAUCUAAUGGUAGCUAUGAUGGCUGUGCUCACCAUUGCCAUGAGUAUUCCCCCAGCACCUGCUGAAACAAAAAACAUUAUACUUAUUGGGCAUAUAUUCCUUUUCCACCAGUUUCAUGGCCAGUGACAUGGUUAGACCCCCCAGUGGAGGUAUACACUAAUGAUAGCUUUUGGAUACCUGGUUCUACAGAUGAUAGAGGCCCAUCUCACCCCCAAAAGGAGGGAACAAUUAUGAAUAUUUCGUUGGGAUUUGAGCAUUUAACUACUUGCUUGGGAAAAGCCAACAGGUGCUUACCUCCCAGUCAUCAAUCUUGGCUGGCAAUAGUGCCUGAAGGUAACAUCUCUGUGGCACAAUUACAUAUGCUUUCUG
rnacentral:lncRNA from 10 species